rnacentral:rRNA from 1 species
UAGGUAGGGUGCAAGCGUUGUCCGGAUUUAUUGGGUUUAAAGGGGGCGUAGGUGGCUGAUUAAGUCAUGGGUGAAAGCCCGCAGCUCAACUGUGGAAUUGCCUGUGAUACUGAUUAGCUUGAGUGCGGUUGAGGCAGCUGGAAUUGGUGGUGUAGCGGUGAAAUGCAUAGAUACCACCAGGAACACCGAUUGCGAAGGCAGGUUGCUAAGCCGUAACUGACACUGAGGCACGAAAGCGUGGGGAGGAAACAGG